rnacentral:rRNA from 1 species
AGUCGAACGAAGCACUUUAUUCAGAUUCUUUCGGGAUGAUGAAUUUAGUGACUUAGUGGCGGACGGGUGAGUAACGCGUGGGUAACCUGCCUUACACAGGGGGAUAACAGUUAGAAAUGACUGCUAAUACCGCAUAAAACAGCAGCACCGCAUGGUGCAACUGUCAAAGAUUUAUCGGUGUAAGAUGGACCCGCGUCUGAUUAGCCAGUUGGUGGGGUAACGGCCUACCAAAGCGACGAUCAGUAGCCGACCUGAGAGGGUGAUCGGCCACAUUGGGACUGAGACACGGCCCAAACUCCUACGGGAGGCAGCAGUGGGGAAUAUUGGACAAUGGGCGAAAGCCUGAUCCAGCGACGCCGCGUGAGCGAUGAAGUAUUUCGGUAUGUAAAGCUCUAUCAGCAGGGAAGAAAAUGACGGUAUCUGACUAAGAAGCCCCGGCUAACUACGUGCCAGCAGCCGCGGUAAUACGUAGGGGGCAAGCGUUAUCCGGAUUUACUGGGUGUAAAGGGAGCGUAGACGGAAGUGCAAGUCAGAAGUGAAAGCCCGGGGCUUAACCCCGGGACUGCUUUUGAAACUGUGCAUCUAGAGUGCAGGAGAGGUAAGCGGAAUUCCUAGUGUAGCGGUGAAAUGCGUAGAUAUUAGGAGGAACACCGGUGGCGAAGGCGGCUUACUGGACUGUAACUGACGUUGAGGCUCGAAAGCGUGGGGAGCAAACAGGAUUAGGUACCCUGGUAGUCCACGCCGUAA